GUUUUUCAAACCGCUGGGUGUUCAGUCCAUCUGUCAGCUGGAUAACCCUUUGCCCCCCGUCCGGCUGCGUGUUGUGAGAGAAUGGCUCGUAUACCACAAAUGUCAUGCCCUCUCCUGAAGGAAAAAACAAUGGAAGGUGGACUCGGUGAAGGGCAACAAGCGAGGGGAAAUACCACACCACAAAUACGUCAGAAGAGCUGCGCCUGAGUCCGCGAAAGGUCGCGGACGACCGACUGCGGCGGCUCUGGAUUCCAGGAGGGCUCAGGAUCUGCAUGGCUGCUGUGUUGCCCUGAUGAAUAAAUGAUCAGCCGCGUGGACGUGAAGGUCUGCCCCUGUUUCUUCUGACGUGAUCCCCUGGUUGAGCUGGUAAACGCCCAAAGCUGAGAGCCGGAGCCAUCACAGCAAGACGAGAACACCGGCCAACACCAACAGAGCAACGCAGCCGGCCCUCGCCUUCCC
ensembl:lncRNA